ACAAGAAGGGUUUCUAUAAGUAUUUCAAUAGCAAGAGGAGGAUCAGGGAAUAUGUAGGUCCCUUACUGAAUGGGGGAGGCAACCUUGUGACAGAGGAUGCAGAAAAGACUGAAUGUUCAAUGCCUCUUUCACCUCAGUCUUCACAGGGCUGCUCAGCACUACAAAGCAGUCAGAGGAGGACAGCCUUAGCUGGACCUGUGUUCUGUUAUGUAGAUACGAGGGAAGGAGAUUAUACAACACCAUAUGACUUCAGAGAAGUGCCAACAUCACUUCUGAGAUUUCAGUGACGCAUGCACUUCAACUAUGGAAUGGUUAGGUGUUGAGCUUGUAAAAUGCUGGACUAUGGCUUUUUAAGUGGACCCUGCAUUUGCUCCUCAGAAUCCAAUGGACCUACCUUCCUUUUCUUUCUUCAAACGUUAUAUUCCCCCCCUUCCCUUCAAUAUCUUCCUUCAGGCUAUAAGGAACUAGAUGGGAAAUUUUGAGAAGCUCAUUAGUACACUUCCUCUGUUGCUCAAGGGGGUCACUGCAUAAUCAUAUUUGAUGUUACCUCCCUGACAAAGGUUUUUGAACCUUUCCUACCAUGGGAAAAGACAGGCAGUACUCCACAAACAUAAUCAUGGCUAUUAUGCUAUAUCAGUAUUUGGGAAAUUCAUUUCCAGAACCUAGGAUUCACAUACUUUCUUAAUCUGAAUUCCCAGAAGGGUUCUUUGGGAUCCUCCUUAAAUAACUAGGGCUGAGCCCUAGAUUAUAAUUGCAAUGGAAUGCAAAUUAUGAGCUAUAAAGCCAUCUCUAACUUUACCAUAUCUAAUUAGUUUAUCACUUAAAAUACUAAACUACUUCAAGGCAUGCCUGUGGACAUGUUGCCAUUAUCUUCUUAUAGAAAGUUCUGUUUGUUAGUAUGGUCUGAAACCUUGGGAUAACAAGAGCACGUCAUACCGGUAGUAACUUGUAGGGCAUGUCCACAUGACUGUGCACGUGUUUCCCCAGGGCCAAAUAGCAGCGGGCAUAUAGUUAUGCUGCACCUGGGCUAGCUCCAGCAGCCUUACCUUGAGUCCUGGAGGCUCCUGAGACUGCAGCAGCAGCAAUCCGGGCACACAGAGCCUGGCCGGAAACCUGUGUGUGGCUAGCCAGGCUCUAGUUUCUGGUGGUGCGUGCUGCAGCCAUAUGCACUGCCCUGCUUUUUUUGGCAUUUUUUUUAGAUACCAUGAUUUCCUGCUAUUUAAUUUUGGCUCUGUGCUGCAAAUAUGCAGCCAGGAGAACCUUUUAUUAUGUGCUGCGUGUUUUGGUGUACCUCAAAAGACUUUGAGGUGCUGCAAAGUGCGCACACAUAAUUUCCACAUCUUAUUUUCUUCUCACCCUACUUUAUUUAAGGAACUGAAUGCAAGUGGAAGGUGUAGGAGAACUGACAGUCCUAAACAGGGACUGCAGGGGCAAGAGUAGUGCUCUAAACUUCAGCCGUCACCUGGAGAGAACACCUGUUAAGUCUCAGUCCCUGUUCCUUUAGCUGAGGCUGCUAACCAAGGUGCCAAUAUGUACUAGUUUAAGGCAGUUUCAGUAAUGUGGACUGCUGUCUAACAGCAAGUAUGCUGAGGCUCAUUUCACAGAAAUCAUUGAAUGGCUGUCAGAGAGUAAUGGUUUUUUGUGGUUACCAGCACAGGCCAAAUUCAGACUAGUAACUGAGGUGAAAGGUGACCAAUUUCCUGGGCUAUCCAAUUUCCACUCCUAUUAUAUUACUUAAUAUCCUCUGUGUCUUGUAGAAUUUCGAUAUACAUCCAAAAAAGUGUUAUUGUAUGAUUCCUUCAGAAUUCUACUGCUGUUUCUUAUCGUAGAAAUGUAAGUGUUGACAUAGUUUAAAAAAUAUAUAAUUACGAACGUCUCAAAGAUUCAAUAAAAUGUAUCUUAUUGCUUUGCCCAAAGAAAGCUGCUUUGGCUAGUUUCCUCCGUGUAACUGUCAGCAAUCUAAUAUCACAUAAUACAAUACUUUGCACUUAAAACACCUGUCUGCUAAGGAAUAUAAAAUUCUUUACAAAGACAGAUCAAUAUUAUUCCCAUAUUACAGAGGAAGCUCAGCGAUUUGGAGAACUGCAUGCAGUGUAUCGGGACAAAGCUGAGAGGGAGAUCCCUGUGCUUUACUCCAGGACACUGAGCAAAAUGACUGUAGAGCUGCAAAAAUGUUCCAAAACCCUAUACCCAUUGGGGAUCAGACGUCCCCCAGUGCAGAAACCGUGACCACAGCCUAAAGAUGGUCUUCAAAGGCUUGUGGGUAUGUUGAGUCGCAUGCAGAAUAGUGUGACCUACACAAUAACACAGGCAGACAGCCAUCUCAUAGGUCACUGGAAGAAGUUAGGCUGGAGCAGCCCAGAAUUGGGAGAACGCAAAGGUGGCUCAAAGCAACUAUAGAUCUUUUCCUCAUGGCUACAAAUUCUAUGUUGUUCCUUUUAAAAGUGCAGAACAGAACCUUAUUCUAAGCUUCCUGACUACUAUUGCUCCUCUAAUUACCAGUCAAGGCUGCUUCCCUAACAACUUGGCAAAAUAGGCCUGUAAAAGCCUAAUUUGGUGUGUGUUGCAGAACUAAGCAGUGAAUUUUCCUUUUGUUGUUGUUGUUGUUGUUGUUGUUGAAAUUGUCCUUAUCACGGGUUAAUCAGUUGUAUUGUGCCUGUCUCAUGACUGUAAUAUAGAACUCACCCCCUGUAUAUUCCCCUCUUUUCUAUUUGGCACUCUAAAAGAUUAUAAUAUGUAAUCAAACAUAUAUCAUGUGUGUGGGAGUGUUGGGAGGGGCUGUAUUCACCAACACUUUCAAGAAUGACUAUUGCUUUUGUUACCUCAGUGUUUGGGUGCUCAGCUUGUGACACAUUAAAGAAUUAGAACACAAAAGCUGAUUUUUUUUUUUUUAUUUUUUUUUGAGUGGAAGCUAAGCACUUCUUGAAUAUUGGGCACUUUUUUCGGUGUCUUCAGUUGGGCAACCAAAAUCAUUUGUUAAAAUUCUGGAUAUGAGAGAGUGGUAAAACACCUUAAGACUCAUCAGAAUAAAAGGCUCUAAGAAUUUGUAAGGUUAUUCUUACUGCAAGCUGUAAGAUCUUUGUAAAUUCAAACAUUAUUAACUACCUUCUUUCUCUAUUAGUACAAAUUUGCCCUUGGCAAAGGAGAGUGCUGUCUUGUCUGCCUUGCAGGCAUUCACACAAUUAACUCUCUUUCAAAAACAUACACAAGGUUCCUGCUGUCACCAUUCUUAGGCAAAUACAUUCAAGCUAUGUCUGAUAUAUGAGGUAUGUUUUUACUGGGGCAGAAUUAACAAGCAUUAGCUAUUUCAUUGUGGAAAAAUAUUGGUGAUUAGUGUUUUAGUGCGACAGUGAGGACAUUAACUGUGGGCAGAAAAAUGUAUUGACCUCCCCUAAUAACCUUGCCUUAUCUACACAUAGGAUUUUACAAGGGAUAACUGUCAUAUGUUAGUUAUUUCUCUGUAAAAAAACCUUUGUGUUAGUGAAGACAAAACAUCAGCUAAAUGACACUGGGAAUACCUGCACAAUAGUGGGGGCAUCUACACAUGCAAUUAAUGUUCCUCUUUAAACUCUGGCACAGUUUGUGCCAGAUUUUAUUGCUUCCAGGCUUGCGUGUGCACCAGGAUUGCAGCACGUUAAGCCGGGUCAGAGCAGCUUCAGCUGGCAGGGGGCCCGGGGAGUUGGCCUGCCAGCCUAGGGUUGCUUUGACCUGCCUCAAUGUGCUGCAGAGGGGCUAGCUGGCGCAUGAGGGUGCUCCAGGGCGGGGCUAUCCAGCAGCACUGAAGCACCCUUGGGCUCUAGACAGUGCCAUGAGUGUCUACACAUGCAUUGUGGUGCAGUAAAUAAUGCUGCCAAGGGAUAAUACUUGUGUUUACAAGUACUAACCUACAGUAGCCUUUAUUAGUCUAAUGAGGCCUAAUAUGGCAAAAUAUAUAGACACUGUGCAUAUCUACAUGUGCACUAAUGCACUUUUACUAAUGCACAUUAAAUUUAGUACUUCCAAUAUGAGCUACUAAAUAAAUGCACGAUAUGCUGCACUAAUGUGUAGUAGUGCAAGCACAGGCUUUUCAGGUGAUGCUUAAUGUGCAGUAGCCUAUUCUACUGCACAUUAGCAUUUUAUCACGGUUUUUGAUGCACUUUAAUGCACAGUAGAAUAGGCUACUGUGCAUUAAAGUGCAUGUAUAGACAUGCCCACUGAGACUUUACUACAGAGGCAAUUAGGCAACUCUGCAGUAAAUAUCUCAUGUAGACGCACCCAGUAUCUGCAGUAUAGCAUAGACAUAUUGGCUACUUGCAGAUGUUAAAAGAAACAAAACAAAAUGGGGCUUUACUUUAAAUUCUGCAUGCUUCUGUGCCAAGCCCAGCACAAGCCCAGAAGAGGCAGGCAGUAGUUGGACUUAGCUCACCUGAUGUCUCUAUAGAUUGGGUGUUUUAGUGGGGCUUUUUUGGCACUUUUUUCUAAUACCUGCUUGAAUCAGCUUUAGCUAAAAGCACCAAAAAGUCCCACUGAAAGGCCCAAUUUAUACAGGUGCUGCAGAGCUGGGUCAAACUAACAUACUGCUUCUUCCAGUAAAAUGCUUUUUUUUUUUUUUUAAACAUCUGCAAACAGCCAUUGAAGCUAGCUUAGGUACCAGUAGCAGAUGAGCAAAAGGAGCACAGACCUCUGGUGUUGGCUCUAACAUCUACCUGAAAGGCUGGGUAAAUUAAUCUGUGCUGAGUUUCAGGCAGUUGCAGAUAGACUCCUGCUGGUACCAGUUACCCAGUUUAAAGCUAGCUUGGGUAUGUCUAUACUAUGCUGCAGCCACAUUAGUGACUGCAGCAUAGACAUAUUUAGUACAUACACAGGGUCUGACUCUGUUUCAUAUAGACACCUGCCUUUCUCACCUUUUUAAAAAUCUCACUCAUUCCUUUGCAAACAUCAUGUUACUAUAUUAAAUAAAAAUAAUAUGUUAUUCUAUAAGAAUGACAAAAAUGUUGUAAAUCCCAAUAGUUAUACUGUAGUUUUCGGAGCAAUUAUGAUAACAUAUUAAAAAUAUUUUAGUAAGAAAGGCCUCUCACCCACACUCUCUCUCGCACACGUCUAAUGUAAUCAUGCUGCAGCAAUGUACAUUGAACCAUGCCAAUCUGUUAGGCUGUUGUACAGAAAUAAGGCAGUUUAUUAUAUCUCUAGCAGCUACAAAAAAACCAAAUAGGCCAAAUAUCUGUUGCAGAAAGAUUUUAUUCACUUUGCAUGGAUGGAUUUUUAUAACUUUCAAGCAUAUGUACCCUCUGUAAGAAUAUGCUCUCUUUUCAGGAAUGAAAAAGGAAAAGAAAUCUAGGAGAAAAAAAGGAAACAGCAAUCAUAAUACCACUAUUUAUUAACUAGAAAAGCAGUAAGCACAAACUACAGCAGUCUCCUAGUAAACAAUACACUGGAGGUUCCAUGUGGCUUUGUAAGCAAUCAGAUUGGGGCAUGCUUGUCCUUCUAAGAUGACUCAGGACUCCAGACUGAGAACACAAUGGUGCCAGGCAGCCAGACAAUGGGCCUCUUCAACCUGUGACCAGUUUUAUGUUGGUGUGAUUGUGCUGAACUCAACACUGUGCCCCAUUGUUGUAAAAUGCUGUAACAGGUCUGUUAACUGUAGUA